AUGUAAUCAUGAGUCCCCUUGUCAUCAUUCAAUACUUUGAAAAUAUAUUAGAUCCCUCUCUUACUUUUUGUCUUUGUGCCUCUUUUAACCACGAAAUUAGUCUGAAAUAUAUUUAAAUUUUAUAAUUUUUUAAUUAUUAAAAAUUAUGAUAUAUAGAUCAAUUAGUUGAAAAAAAAUCUUUGUUAAAAAGUAUUUUAUCUUUUUUCUUAUCUUCUUCUAUACUGGAUUUGGGGCGAAUCAAAGUAGUUAUAGUGAUAAAAAAAAUACAUUUUAUUAUUUAUUUAUAUAUGCUACAUAUUUUGUGAGUUUUGAUUAUUUUUUUUUAUGAUUAAACACAAAAUAGCGAAGUAUUUGCACGCACACCCUCUUUUAAUGUCAUUUUCUGAAUUCUAUCCACCAUCAAAUAUGUUUUAACUUCUGAUAUUAUUUUUGAUAUUAUAUCGCGUGAAAUAACUAGACAUUUGCACUGAUAACCUCUUUUGAUACUACUCGUUAAAUUCUAUCCACCAUUAAAUAUUUUUUAACAGUUCUAAUAUUAUAUUGCAUGAAAUAAGACAUUUGCUUAAAUAAUCUCUUUUAUCGCUACUCGUUAAAUUCAAUCUUAACAUUAUAAAUGAGCUGUCUACUCUCAUAUCAUAUUAAAAUUCUCUGUCUAUCUAAUCUUUUCAAAAUGCCACAUGGAACAUAACGUGUAUACAACUAUACAAAAAAAACACAAUAACUCCAUCUAUUUAUAGGAUCUCACUCACUUCAUAUUUUAUUCAAAUCUUCUUCUUCUUCUUCUUCUCAAAGUAUAUAUUAAAAAAAUUAAGAAAAAAUUAGAAGAAACCUACUUAAAAAAUCAAGAAAAUGUGUGUUAAUUCAACAGAAUGGAGUGCUUCACGUAUUCAUUAUUUUUCUGGGAAGAAAAAAAACCCAAAAAAAUUCAGAGUUCAAGUUCAUAGGCUUGCAUGGAGGAAGAGAAGUGAGGAAAAGGCAGCAGUAGGUAAAAAUAUGGAAUUGAAAAAUUUGAAGUUAUAUAUGGAAAAUAUGAGUAUAUUUGAAGAAAAUGAAAAAUUGAGGAAAAAGGCAAAUCUUCUCCAUCAAGAAAAUAUUGCUUUAUUUUCUGAAUUUGAGAAGAAAAUUUCUCUAUUGGAUCGAGUUUCCGCCACCCUUAAUUUAAUCAAGGACAGAGCUAGAGUUUAAGCUACGAGUUCAGUCAAAUUCGUAGCACUUUGAAGAUCAAAAUUUGUAUUGUUAUCUAUGGAAUAUGUAUAAAUUGUUAAUUUUAAAAUUUGAACGCUUAAGCUUUAAAUUCUAGUUCUGUCUUCCUAAGUCGUCAUGUCAAUGAAGAAAACCCUGCUUCAUGAUCUAAAUAUCAUGUUUACGAUCCUCAUCUUCCUAGAAAGUGUCUUUGUUCUACAUCAAUUGUAUAAUAAAAUAUAUCUGGAUUGUAUGUACAAUAAAUCUAUGUAAUUUUUUUUUACAUGUUGAAUUCAAAUAAAAAUUGCUAGUUUAUAUAUUGUCUA